AUUGAACGCUGGCGGCAUGCUUUACACAUGCAAGUCGAACGGUAACAGGCCGCAAGGUGCUGACGAGUGGCGAACGGGUGAGUAAUGCAUCGGAACGUGCCCAGUCGUGGGGGAUAACGCAGCGAAAGCUGUGCUAAUACCGCAUACGAUCUAUGGAUGAAAGCGGGGGACCGUAAGGCCUCGCGCGAUUGGAGCGGCCGAUGUCAGAUUAGGUAGUUGGUGGGGUAAAGGCUCACCAAGCCAACGAUCUGUAGCUGGUCUGAGAGGACGACCAGCCACACUGGGACUGAGACACGGCCCAGACUCCUACGGGAGGCAGCAGUGGGGAAUUUUGGACAAUGGGCGCAAGCCUGAUCCAGCAAUGCCGCGUGCAGGAAGAAGGCCUUCGGGUUGUAAACUGCUUUUGUACGGAACGAAACGGCGAGCUCUAAUACAGUUUGCUAAUGACGGCACCGUAAGAAUAAGCACCGGCUAACUACGUGCCAGCAGCCGCAGUAACAC
rnacentral:rRNA from 1 species